UUGCACGCUGGCGGCAUGCCUUACACCUGCAAGUCGAACGGUAACGGGCCUUCGGGUGCCGACGAGUGGCGAACGGGUGAGUAAUACAUCGGAACGUGCCCGAUCGUGGGGGAUAACGAGGCGAAAGCUUUGCUAAUACCGCAUACGAUCUACGGAUGAAAGCAGGGGACCGCAAGGCCUUGCGCGGACGGAGCGGCCGAUGGCAGAUUAGGUAGUUGGUGGGAUAAAAGCUUACCAAGCCGACGAUCUGUAGCUGGUCUGAGAGGAUGAUCAGCCACACUGGGACUGAGACACGGCCCAGACUCCUACGGGAGGCAGCAGUGGGGAAUUUUGGACAAUGGGCGCAAGCCUGAUCCAGCCAUGCCGCGUGCAGGAUGAAGGCCUUCGGGUUGUAAACUGCUUUUGUACGGAACGAAAAGCCUUCUUUUAAUACAGGAGGGUCAUGACGGUACCGGAAGAAUAAGCACCGGCUAACUACGUG
rnacentral:rRNA from 1 species